GAGGACAUUACCGAGUUUACACUCCCAAACCCCUGUGAACAUACCAAUUGUUGCCUCGGCGGAUCAGCCCGCUCCCGGUAAAACGGGACGGCCCGCCAGAGGACCCCUAAACUCUGUUUCUAUAUGUAACUUCUGAGUAAAACCAUAAAUAAAUCAAAACUUUCAACAACGGAUCUCUUGGUUCUGGCAUCGAUGAAGAACGCAGCAAAAUGCGAUAAGUAAUGUGAAUUGCAGAAUUCAGUGAAUCAUCGAAUCUUUGAACGCACAUUGCGCCCGCCAGUAUUCUGGCGGGCAUGCCUGUUCGAGCGUCAUUUCAACCCUCAAGCCCCCGGGUUUGGUGUUGGGGAUCGGCGAGCCCUUGCGGCAAGCCGGCCCCGAAAUCUAGUGGCGGUCUCGCUGCAGCUUCCAUUGCGUAGUAGUAAAACCCUCGCAACUGGUACGCGGCGCGGCCAAGCCGUUAAACCCCCAACUUCUGAAUGUUGACCUCGGAUCAGGUAGGAAUACCCGCUGAACUUAAGCAUAUCAAUAGGGCGGAGGAAA
rnacentral:rRNA from 1 species